CUGGGAAGUACGCUCGCAAGAGUGAAACUCAAAGGAAUUGCCGGGGACCCGCACAAGUAGCGGAGCAUGUGGUUUAAUUCGAAGCAACGCGAAGAGCCUUACCUAAGCUUGACAUCCCAAUGACAGCUCCUUAAUCGGAGAGUUCCCUUCGGGGACAUUGGUGACAGGUGGGGCAUGGUUGUCGUCAGCUCGUGUCGUGAGAUGUUGGGUUAAGUCCCGCAACGAGCGCAACCCUUGUCUUUAGUUGCCAUCAUUAAGUUGGGCACUCUAGAGAGACUGCCAGGGAUAACCUGGAGGAAGGUGGGGAUGACGUCAAAUCAUCAUGCC
rnacentral:rRNA from 1 species